GCAGGUGUAGUAUAAUGGUUAAUAUAUAACCUUGCCAAGGUUGAGAUGGGAGUUCGAUUCUCCUCACUUGCUCCA
rnacentral:tRNA from 1 species